rnacentral:rRNA from 1 species
CCUACGGGCGGCAGCAGUGGGGAAUAUUGGACAAUGGGCGAAAGCCUGAUCCAGCCAUGCCGCGUGUGUGAAGAAGGCCUUCGGGUUGUAAAGCACUUUCAGUGGGGAAGAAAGCCUUGGGGCUAAUACCCUCGAGGAAGGACAUCACCCACAGAAGAAGCACCGGCUAACUCCGUGCCAGCAGCCGCGGUAAUACGGAGGGUGCGAGCGUUAAUCGGAAUUACUGGGCGUAAAGCGCGCGUAGGCGGUCUGAUAAGCCGGUUGUGAAAGCCCCGGGCUCAACCUGGGAACGGCAUCCGGAACUGUCAGGCAAGAGUGCAGGAGAGGAAGGUAGAAUUCCCGGUGUAGCGGUGAAAUGCGUAGAGAUCGGGAGGAAUACCAGUGGCGAAGGCGGCCUUCUGGACUGACACUGACGCUGAGGUGCGAAAGCGUGGGUAGCAAACAGGAUUAGAUACCCUGGUAGUC